rnacentral:rRNA from 1 species
GAGGGCGUGAGCGCGGAGGGGGCGGAGCGGAGAGAGAGAGGGCGCGGAGGGUCGGGGCGGCGGCAGCAGAAGAGCGGGUCGGCCGGCGGCGGCGUGCUACGUCGCGGGUCUAGGUGCCGCCCUAGCUGCGCCGCAGCAACUGGACUCGGUGAUGGCAGCAGCUCCAGGAGGGUGGGGGAGAGCGGCAGCGCGGAAGGGGAGGAGGAGCAGGAGAGCGACGAGUCGUCCUCCUCGUGCCGAGCGGCGGCCAAGAGUGUGCGGCGAAGGGAGGAGGCGGGGAGGGAGCUCGGCGAGGAGUGGGUGGGUGGUGCCAGUGGAGAGGAGGCUGGUGCGGCGGCACGACGCGCUGCGGCUCACCCGCGGGCGGGAGGGGCAGGGCGCUGCCGGCUCUAGGUCAAGCAGCGGUAGCCGGACUCUUCGCGAACCCGGCGACGAGGGGUAGCUCGGACGCACACGCUGCGUAGACUACCGGUUGUGUCGGCACAUGUUGAGACGACGGAGGUCGAGCUCGCGGGUAGAGGUGAUACAGGUCCAACGGCGACAGCGCCUCAACCUACUCCAGUACCGAAUCAACUGCUCCAGUUGUUGAUUAUCUCCCGUUUCAAUUCGUUUAACAACCGAGAUGAGAGGCCCUACGUAGCUUACUACCGUGCUGUGCCCACUGUUUUCAGAGGUAGUCUUAAACGUUUAUAAAUGUUUCUACCUGACCAACCACCCGUACAGUAUUACGAACCGCCUCUGGGACGUUCGACGAUACGACGGGACCUUCGUGAGGAGAAGGACGGAGUGGUGGACAAGUCCUUGGCAUAGUAUUCACCGCGGAAGAAGGUGCUUGUCAACGCCACGAGCGACAGCCGCAGUCUGAGGGUUCGUUCACUCCUACUGGUGCUGCGUCUCCUCCUGCUCCUGGGCUCGAGCUAAGGCUGGUGCUGCGUGGCGUGUUCUAGGGACGAAGGAAGGACUGCCGUUACCUAGGGAAGGAACGUCAACGGACCCAACGACUGCUCUAGGUAGACGGGCCGACCUCGGACAAUAAGAGAACUACCUUCAGUCGGGUUAACAUCAAGUCUGCCACGGCACGGCAACCCCAACGGAACGGUCAGCUGGCCUCUACCUCGAAUAGCAAACUCGGAGACGGGAGGGGCAGCUCCAACGAGGAGUGGUAGCGUCCGUGCCAGACCAGCCCCGGUGCUGCUGCUCUCCUCGUCGUCUCCUAUUGAAAAGGGGUGCCUAGGAAGAGCAGAAGGUGCACUAAGCUCAGCGGAGAGAGGCAGUCUAGGACGUGCCUGGAGGGACAGUCCGGGGAGAACGGCGGGCAGCUGUGCAGGAAGCUAGAACAACACAACUAGUACCCCUGGUAAGGUAAACUUCUCCGAGUACGACGGGCCUAAAGUAAUUCGUUCGGUAGAUACAGGGUUUCAACUCCUGGCAAACCUCUUCUCCGGUGGGUCCAUUCGAAUAGGUUCGAGUUUGUAAUUAAAUUAGUGAUAAAUCAACGGCAUGAACGCAAGGAUCUACCUAGAAAACUCUAAGGUGUUGAAACUUUAAGAAUGAACCCUAGUAAACUAUACACGGGAACUUUUAUUGUCUUGCCUAGUAAGGAUCUACUUAAGAAUCGACUAAAGUGACCCGAAGAGGGAAAUGCGAUUAUACUUUAUAUAAUCGACGUCAUAUAUCAGAUCCAAGUAAAAUUACGCUGAUUUACUCUAUUUUUAUGAUGGACGAAUAUGGUGAGCUCAUAGGUGGCAAUCCUGCAAUACAAGGGACGUUUGUGUUGUAUUGGAAAAACUGAAUAAUAGGGAUUUUUUUCGACUGAGAAAAAGUGUUCGACUUUUCUGUUAGACUAGACGGUGUAAACCAGACUUUAAAAGAAGAACACACAGGUGUACUAUUUCUCCUACGGAAACUAGUUAACAUUUAGUGAAUAAAAAGAUCCUAUAUAUCUAAAGAACUUAAUGGGUGUUAUAUGAAAAUACAGUAGAUUAUAUACAGAGGGUCUGUUAAAUUUGUCUACGUCCUAUACUAAUCCGCGUGUAUAUGUUCAUAGAAAUACUGCUGUGCACGUGGUCAAAAGUAACAAUAACAAGAACGGACAACGGAGGGGGGGGAUAGCGAAGCGAUCCACUCUCUGGGGAGAGGAAAGGACAAUCUUUUAUGGUUCAUAAACGUUACGAACUAACAAUACGGUUGAAAAGAAUCUUGGAACCACGUACCCGGUAUGUCGCUAGAGGUAUGAUGUUAAAUCUUAAUAUUCUUUAACGUAGGAGAUAAAUAAAUCCUUAGAUCCAAACAUAAAAAGACUAAACCAAAAACGAAAGACCAGUAAACCAUGGCACGCGGUACUACAUGAAGGACAGAUAGUACGAACCCAAACAUCCAUGGCAAGUAACUAGGGACUUGAAAACUGGUUAAAUACAAGCACUGUAGAACGCACAUAAGGGAAAGAGUACUAAACACUAAGAGUUAAGACGGUCGAAACACCUCUGUACCUUGGCUUCAGUACUCCACCUGUAAUAGUAAAACAAUCUGACCCACACCUUAACGUUCAAUGAGGUAACCGUUGGUGUAUGUCUGGGCGUGGUUGAUAGGUACGAGAUUCAGUCAGACAAUCCCCUUUUAGUUUCCGUACACCCGUGGACUAGAUAAACAUUGUAGCUGUACACUACACACGUUGAUUUUUUUACAAUCCGAUACUAUCGUUAAGAAAAGUUGUGUACAAGAGUAUGUAAGACCUAUAUGAAGGACGAUUUUACUGUAUAUAUAAAAGAAAAUGUACAGCGGAAAUAUGGAAAAGUAGGGGACCUGGACAC